ensembl:snoRNA
GGUCAGUGAUGAAUGUUGGCACGUAUUAUCUGCUCUAAAGUUAAUAUUUAUCACCACUUUAGCUCUAGAAUUACUCUGAGAACCA